rnacentral:tRNA from 1 species
GAGGGAAUAGCUCAAAUGGUGGAGUUCAUGCUUAGCACGCAUGCAGUCUUGGGUUCAAUCCCCAGUAUCUCCA